rnacentral:rRNA from 1 species
CAGUAGCCGCGGUAAUGCGAAGGGUGCAAGCGUUAAUCGGAAUUACUGGGCGUAAAGCGUGCGUAGGCGGUGAGUUAAGUCUGCUGUGAAAUCCCCGGGCUCAACCUGGGAAUGGCAGUGGAUACUGGCUCGCUAGAGUGUGUCAGAGGAUGGUGGAAUUCCCGGUGUAGCGGUGAAAUGCGUAGAGAUCGGGAGGAACAUCAGUGGCGAAGGCGGCCAUCUGGGACAACACUGACGCUGAGGCACGAAAGCGUGGGGAGCAAACAGGAUUAGAGACCCCGGUAGUCCCUGUCUCUUAUAC